rnacentral:lncRNA from 1 species
UAUUAAUAGAUAUUAAUACAUAUGUCAGUUUUAAUUUCUAAUACAGAAAAUAUUAGUAGAUAUAAACCACAUCGACACAUUAUCUGGGAUCCUCUAUAAUUUUCACAACUACAAAGGUGUGAUGAGACAAAAGUGUUUGAGAAAUGCUCCUUUAAACUAAAUAGAAGUCUAAAAUACUUGUCUUAUUUACAUAGAUAUUUAUCAUUUCCAAGUCUGCACAUUCCUUUAUGUAUAUACAAAUUUUCUUGUACUAUAAUUUUCCUUCAACCUGAAGAAAUUUCUCUAUCCUAUCUUGUAGAGAAAGUUGGCUAAAAAAGAUUGCAUCUGAUUUUGUUUGAACUAAAUAUAUCUUUAUUUUGCCUUCAUAAUAUAAAUUUAGCUAGAUUUAACAUUCCAGGGCAUUCCCCCAUCCCCUAUCCUGCCUGCCUAUCACUUUGUGACAUUCAUUAUAUUAUCCUUCCCUGCCCUCUUCCAGCUACUGAGAAUUAUUAUUUGAGAAGGUCAAAGUAAAUUUCAUGUUAAGAAAAGAAGGUAAUUGGAAUGAGAGGAUGGAUAUUAACUUAACAUUUAAUACAACAUGUGCAUCUGCCCUUUUUACCAAUUCAUGGUCUAUAGGCAGAAGCUAGGGUAUGUGAAGUUGAGUUGCAUUAUUAAGUUUAUAAUCUUCACAUAACCUCAAAUCUAUAAAACCUUUGUUCAACAGUCCAAAGAAAUUUAGAUGAAUUAAAACUCUUACUUUAGUCAAUGGUACUGUGUGUUUUGAGAAAGAAUCAGUUGGGUGACCUUUCUAUUUUUUUCCUGAUAUUUAUUCUGCUAAAGUGACAUAAAAAAAACUUUAUUAGAACAUGAAAAUUCUUUAUAGAAUGUCAUAUUAUUAUCAAAUUGUUUACUUGGCAUUUAGGCACAGGUGUUUUCUUAGAAAUUUUAAAGGGUACUGAGCUUUGCUUCUUUGAUGCUGACAACUUUGACUCUAUUUUAGCAAUAGAUGCAAACCCCAGAGCUUCCAGAAGACAAAAAUGCAAACCUAGUUGCUGGAAGAGAACAAGAAUAUUCCAUCAGAUUCCCCUCUGGGUUUCUCAAGACUCAUUGUUUGAACUACAACCCAACAGGUGAGUGGUAUCAGGCUGUCCACUAACAUAUGAGACUCUACAAUCUGCUGUACUUGGGCUCAGAACCUUUCUUGCUACUUUAGCUUUCCAUGAGCCCCUGGCAUCCUCUCAUUUGUUCAUUUGACCUCACUGUUUUGCACACUACUGCCUCCAACCUACCA